rnacentral:rRNA from 1 species
CCCUUAGAUGUUCUGGGCUGCACGCGUGCUACAAUGGCGCUUGCAACAAGUCUUGCCAACCCGAUAGGGUGAGCGGAUCUUCGAAGUGGCGUCGUGAUCGGGACAGUUGAUUGCAAUUAUUCGACUCGAACGAGGAAUUCCUUGUAAUCGUGCGUCAUCAGCGCACGCUGAAUACGUCCCUGUUCUUUGUACACACCGCCCGUCGCUCCUACCGAUCGAGCGAUCCAAUGAAUGUUUCGGAGCGGAACUGAGAUGCUAAUGCGUCUCUUUUACGCGAAUUUGUGUGAAUUUGAUCGCUUAGAGGAAGGAGAAGUCGUAACA